AUCCUAGCUUCGGGUGGACAUAUACUAAAAUUGGAACGAGACAGAGAAGUAUGGCCCCUGUGCAAGGAUAUGACACACAAAAAAGUGCAAGUGCUUUUAAAAUUU